GCUUGGCGGGAAAUUUGCCACCCUUCCCUUCGUUCCCUUCCAGUUAAAACAACAUUUUGCCCUAGCCCAAUUUGAGACUCUGCAGUGCUUCGUCACUCCAACAAUGUCAUCCCCUACUCUACGGCCGCAUACGAAUUUCUUCCGUGUUUCUUCUCUCUCCGACUGACGGAUGAUCCCGAUCUAGCUGCCUCUCAGGUAUGCUUUACCUCUUUAUUUCUCUCUUUUCCUUUUCCCCCUCUGUUUCUCCGUCGCUUUCAAUCACAUAGCGACUCCCACUCUCCUCGUUUUCAUCGAACUUUUCUAGUCCCAUCUCCUUCAUAUCCCCCAACACAUUCUUUUUCCUUCCUCCCUCUUUACUCACACACUUUCUUUCUGAUUUGGUCCCAAAACUUCGUUGUCCUUCACUUGUGCAGGUAAAUUUCCACGCCUUUUUUUUAUUAGAUCCGUUUUUGGGUUUUAGAUGGUGGCACUGGAAUUCACAUUAAGCUUUUACUAUUUCGAUAAAGUUGGCUUCCUUAGGCUUUCCUUUAUUGUUUUCUUGAUGUGGAUGCCACAAUGCACAUGUGCAAAUCUGCUACUUCGCCACCUUCAAGGAAUCAGGAGUUCGCAAUGUAUCUUUAUGGUGGGAAGUAAAGUGAACUUUCCCAGGCAAAGAGAUCAAGGUGUUAGAGUUAGUAAUAAAUAUAAGAAGCAAGGAGGAGCUCUCAAUACUACUUGUCUUGAGGAUAAAAUUCUGGUGGCAAAUAUAGGAGGAAUAGUUGUUCGCGUUAUUAGAACUGCACAUGAGAUUGGUAUACCUUAUGUUGCUGUUUACUUCACCAUAGAUAAGGAUGCUCUUCAUGUGAAACUGGCUGAUGAAGCGGUUUGCAUUGAUGAAGCACCAAGCAAUCAAUCAACCAACGAAAAGUCUCCCUGAGAUUGCAAAGGUUUAACUGGUUCACAUAUUUUCAAUGAAGGAAGGAGAGGCUGCUGAAGAAACAACACAGACAAGCUCUCCUUCUUGAUAAUUUCUUAAGUGUGGAUGGACUUGGUCCAAGGCGCUCCCUUCAUGAUAGAAAACCUGUCACCUAUACAUUCGAAAUCUCUUCUGAGUUGCAAGAAGAAAUUUGCCAUAGAAAAUGGGAAAAGUUUCGUCAAUAUACUGCAUCAGCGGACAGCUUCACUUGGUUUCCUAAAAGACGAAUUAAACAAAAUUAUUUCAUUAACUCAGAUAUGCAUGGCAAUUUGUCACAGAUUUUGAGUCAGUUAUCACAAGUAUUCCAUCAGGGGAAAUCUCCAUCUCAACUCCGCAAUUAAUAACUAUUAAAUGUUGUAUAUAGCAUAGAUGAUAAAUAUUAGCAUACAUGAUAAAUAUUAGCUGAACAAACUAUACAUAUGGGUGUGACUGCAUAUAGAUAUAAAGACUGCUUUUUGUCACAUGGAUUAUAUAUAAUCCGCAGUCUUUUGGAGACCGAAGAAAUUUAUUUAUUAUAUACAUAUAUAUAUAUAUAUAUAUAGAAAGAGAGGGAGAGAAAUCAUACUAGUUGCACACGAUAAUCAAAAACCUUACCAGAACAAGUU